AUUGAACGCUGGCGGCAGGCCUAACACAUGCAAGUCGAGCGGAUGAAGGGAGCUUGCUCCUGGAUUCAGCGGCGGACGGGUGAGUAAUGCCUAGGAAUCUGCCUGGUAGUGGGGGAUAACGUCCGGAAACGGGCGCUAAUACCCCAUACGUCCUGAGGGAGAAAGUGGGGGAUCUUCGGACCUCACGCUAUCAGAUGAGCCUAGGUCGGAUUAGCUAGUUGGUGGGGUAAAGGCCUACCAAGGCGACGAUCCGUAACUGGUCUGAGAGGAUGAUCACUCACACUGGAAGUGAGACACGGUCCAGACUCCUACGGGAGGCAGCAGUGGGGAAUAUUGGACAAUGGACGAAAGCCUGAUACAGCCAUGCCGCGUGUGUGAAGAAGGUCUUCGGAUUGUAAAGCACUUUAAGUUGGGAGGAAGGGCAGUACGUUAAUACCUUGCUGUUUUGACGUUACCAACAGAAUAAGCACCGGCUAACUUCGUG
rnacentral:rRNA from 1 species